UACGAAGGGGGGCUAGCGUUGCUCGGAAUCACUGGGCGUAAAGGGUGCGUAGGCGGGUCUUUUAAGUCAGGGGUGAAAUCCUGGAGCUCAACUCCAGAACUGCCUUUGAUACUGAAAGUCUUGAGUUCGGGAGAGGUGAGUGGAACUGCGAGUGUAGAGGUGAAAUUCGUAGAUAUUCGCAAGAACACCAGUGGCGAAGGCGGCUCACUGGCCCGAUACUGACGCUGAGGCACGAAAGCGUGGGGAGCAAACAGG
rnacentral:rRNA from 1 species